rnacentral:rRNA from 1 species
AUGGAGGAGCUGCUGCUGGCGCUCAAGGAGGUGAACGCGGAGCUGCACACCACGCGGCAGCAGCUGGUGCGCCCGCAGCACGAGUCAGAAACGGCGAGGCUGGAGUCGGACCGGGUGCACGUGUCCCUAAAGCGCAAGGACGACAAGGUCUGCGCGCUGUCCGACGAGGUGGCCCGCCUCCGCUCCGACGCCGAGGAGGCGUUCGCCACGUUCCGGGGCAAGGAGGCCGGGUUCACGGCGUGCAUGAAGUCGUCGGAAGCGGAGUUCGCCGCGUCCCGGCGCGAGAACGCGCGACUCCUCGAGUCGCAACGGUCUGGGCGGCACGAGGUGGCCAAGCUGCGGGACAUCCUGAAGCAGGCCGUCAAGGACACCAAGUUCGUCAAGGAGGCGCUGGAGGAGGUGAGGAGCGAGAACGCCAUGCUCAAGGAGAUGGUCGGGAGCAAGGACACCGCCGUCAAGUGCAGCAAGGAGGAGCUGGAGUGCCUCCGGGUGAGCGAGGCCGCGGCGCGCGACAACAUCAAGGAGCUGCAGAGCUUGCUGGUGGCCACGUCGGUGAGUCCCACCCCCACGCCGUCCGCGGCGGCAGGAGCGGGAAGGUCGUUUGACCUGGAGGACCUGUCGCCGCGGACGAGAUCGACGGGAUCGCACUGGAGUAGAGGGAGAGAGAGGGGAUUGAGGAUUAGGAAGAGAGAGAGGGAUUAA